AAGUCGUAACAAGGUUUCCGUAGGUGAACCUGCGGAAGGAUCAUUCAUGUGAUUUUUAAAACACCCCAACCUUUUGUUAACUAUUAGUUACCAUAACCAAAAAGUUUCUGUGUUUUUCUUUUGUUGGCUGCGUUUUCUUUCAUCUUUCACUCUAUUUCUCUUUUGAAAAAAUAGGAAAAGAAAUGAUAAAUGCUACCUUUAAUUUACCUUUAUAUAAAUCUACCACAAAACAUUUACCAUAAAACAAAAAAAAUUUAUUACAACUUUUAACGAUGGAUCCCUCGGCUCUCA
rnacentral:misc_RNA from 1 species